rnacentral:rRNA from 1 species
AACGCGAAGAACCUUACCUGGGUUUGACAUGUAUGGAUUAACUCUCUGAAAGGAGAGCCACGCCCUUUGGGUGGAACAUACACAGGUGCUGCAUGGCUGUCGUCAGCUCGUGCUGUGAAGUGUCGGGUUAAGUCCCUUAACGAGCGCAACCCCUAUCGCUAGUUACUAACGCGUCAUGGCGAGGACUCUAGCGAGACUGCCGGUGUCAAACCGGAGGAAGGCGGGGAUGACGUCAAGUCCUCAUGGCCCUUACGGGUUGGGCUACACACGUGCUACAAUGGUGGUAACAGAGGGUU